rfam:Operophtera brumata OBRT01_Sc00669, whole genome shotgun sequence.
AAAAAUACAGCUCUUAUUAAGAUCGAGCAAAAACAAAAGUUUACUAUAUUUUUUUUUUACUUUUUUUUAUGUUUUCUUGUAGAAACUACAGCAGUUCUUAUUCUGUGAAAAUUUCAAGUUUCUAUCUAGGAGGACGUCGGCGAGAGGAACUCUCCUCAGAGUCGGGUUGCUUGAGAGUGCAGCCCUAAGUGGGUGGUAAACUCCAUCUAAGGCUAAAUAUUACCGCGAGACCGAUAGCGAACAAGUACCGUGAGGGAAAGUUGAAAAGAACUUUGAAGAGAGAGUUCAACAGUACGUGAAACCGCUCAAGGGUAAACCUGCGAAACUCGAAUGAACGAACGAAGAGAUUGAUCGUUAUUCCGCGGCGUGGUGGCGCGCUCUCGAUAUCGUCGGUCUCGGCCGUGCGGUACGGGGCGUGUCGUUCUACGUUCAUGGACUGCGUGCACUUCUUCCUUAGUAAUACAUCGCGACCCGUUCGAUGUCGGUCUAAGCGCCGUACGGGAGUCACUGUUGCAACCUUCGGGCUGCAGUGGUGACCGUUACGGUUGCCGACCGGCUGUCGGACGGUAUUUUAACGGAUCGCGUACGCGUUUAUACGCGUCCGGCCCGACGCAAGGCUACGUCGUUCACUCCCUUCCUGCCCGAGUGCGGCGCGCCUGCUGUCGCAGCCGUGCUGUCUCGGACUGUACGCGUCCCGUGUCUGCGAUGAUUCAGUUUCGGGCACUCGCAGGACCCGUCUUGAAACACGGACCAAGAAGUCUAGCAUGUGUGCGAGUCAUUGAGUAGAAUGUCUAAACUGAAAGGCGCAACGAAAGUGAAGGUGGACACCAAUUGCGAACAAUCAAUUGGUGUUUUUAUUAAUAGUUAAUUUGAUUUAUUAAGCAAUCAAUGUAUACCUGAGUUAUGUAUAUUUCGAUCCUGAGUUAUGUAUAUUUCGAUUACAACGAAGAGAAAAAAAUAAUUAAAUUAAAUAAUUUUUUAAUCAUUUUUUUAAUGUCUAAAAACAUUUUUGGUGUGACAAUAUUGCUAUACGUAAUCUAUCGCCGGUAUAACGUCGGUAGCAGACAAGNGUGCUCCAGGUUUUGAAGGAGCAUAAUUAGGUUCGCGAGUGCCAUUACGGAGCGGUAACGUGGUUAACGGCACUUUACUCAUGUGGAGCAGCGCAUUAAAGCUCUGUAAGAGAGUUAUUGUUACGGUUUUUAUAUCUUCUGGCAACUAUUUGUACGCUUUAGGGGUGGUGAGAAAAAUAAACUCGCAAGAUCAUUUCUUUUGUAGAAAUUAUGUUCUUUUUUUACUACAUUGCUUAUCUCAACAGAGAAACCGAUUAACAGAUUAUCUGUCUAUCUUUGCGCAGUGAUUUUCUGUAAUGUAAAAUAACUAGACUCAUGAUGAUUUUUGUCAAAUUUAGCUUCCUAAACACCUGCUGCCAAAGUCAAUUUAUUAUUCUUCUUGCAAAUAAUUAUAAACAAUCGUAGAGUACGAGACCACAAUAUCGUUCAGACCGUACUCGUAUAAAGUAUACGAUGUAGAAUUGUGUUGUUGUAGGCCUUUGUCAUAGAAUUACCAAUUUCUGCGUUGUUGUGUGGCCUAUUUUUUAUCUUAGAAUGGUCUAUGUGUAACUCUACGUCGGUCGUAGUCUACUGUCCUCUGCCUUGGUUGGCACGCCAUACAAGGCAUCUUACGGUGAACGGUCUGUACUUCUAAGUUAAAGAUGGUCUAAAUCUACGUUAGAGCUACUAUUAGGCUAUGUCAGAGUCGUAGAUAUGGCUACCGUCGAAAUUGUAGCCUUGACUACGUUUACAUUGUUGAAUGUUCUACGCUGUAGAGAGGUCUACGCUCUGUAGAGUGGUCUACGUCGACAUCGUAGAAUGCUAUAUUUGUACGUAGUAGAUUCUAUGGUUAUAAAUUAAAUAACGGAAUUACGAUACAAACUGAGAGCACCGAUGGUCUAGGGAGAGAGAUUUCGAUUCUAAGGUCAUGGGUUCUAAUCCCGGUAGUGCACCAAUGGAUUUUUACAUUCGAAAUAUUUGAAGGAAAACACCGUGGGUCAACCAACACGUCUUAGGACUGACGUGGAGAAGGGUUUCGCGUGAACAGUAGUUGCUCGCGAGUCAGUCGAUCCUAAGCUCAAGGAGAAAUCUUAUGUCGAUGCGGCGUGUUUAUCUGAUAAAUAACGCCCUUUGAGCGAAAGGGAAUCCGGUUCCUAUUCCGGAACCCGGCAGCGGAACCGUUUCAAUAAUCGUUCACUCGUUUUAACGCGAGAGUUCGACGGGGUAACCCAAAGUGGCCUGAAGACGCCGCCGAGAGGUUCGGGAAGAGUUUUCUUUUCUGCCUGAGCGUUCGAGUUCCAUGGAAUCAAAAGUUCGUAGAUAUGUGAUAUAUGUAUGAAAAGAGCCUCUGAGAGGCGCACAAAAUCCUUACCAUAGGUCACAAGGCCACCAUUUCAAGGCCAACUACCUCAAGCUGUUCUCUGACCUAAAGUACCGUUACCAAGACGGAACCACAGACACGAAGUAGUAAUAGUACCAAACAAAAUAAAAAAACUGGCCAAGUGCGAGUCGGACUCCCGCACGUGGGGUUCCGUACCAUUAUCACACGGCGAUCACACGUGUUUUAGAUUAAGUUAUAAAUAAAAGUUUUAUAUUGUUAUGGGCUUACUGUUUAGGUUUAGUGCAUUUUUCAGUAAGCUUGAAAUAAAGAUUUUUGAUUUGAUUUGAUUUGAUGAAAUAUGAAAUCGGCAAAAAAAAAAAAAAAAAAAAUUGCAUGCAAAAUGUGGUUUCCCAUCCAAAAACUAACCCUCAUUGCUUUGGACAAAUCUCGAUUGUUGUAUUAAUUUUAUUCUGUUUUUUAGUAUAUGUUGUUAUAGCGGCAACAGAGAUACAUCAUCUGUGAAAAUUUUAACUGUCUAACCAUAACGGUUCAUGAGAUACAGCCUGGUGACAGACGGACAGACAGACGGACAGCCGAGCCUUAGUAAUAGGAUCCCGUUUUACCCUCUGGGUACAGAACCAUAAAAACCUUCUCAUUAUGUGGCUGACGUAUGACGUAAAACAUUUGAAAGUUUUUCGCCAGGCCUCCCUUCGUUAACACAAUAGCCUCAGCCGACAAUCACAAUCAAGUUAAUGAAAUCACGCUGCUGAUGGCGAGUCCCGCUAACACAAUAGGACAAUCUGUCCCGCUACGUGACGUGCACCUUGUUUCAGAUAAAGCAAGCCGUAGUAGCUUCGAAACAGUAAUGCUGAGAUAAACAGAUCUUACUCGUACUUUGCUAGUUUAGUAGUAGUAGAGCUUUUUUGUGAAAGAGUUCGUCCGGGGAAGUACCACCACCAUACCUAUUUCUGCCGCAAAGUAGUAAUGAUCGCAUUGCUGUGUUCUGGUUUGAAGGGUAUGGUUGCCGGUGAAAUUGCAGGCUAUUCAUCUUUAUGUCUCAGGGUGGCGGGCGCAGUGCAAUGCCACAUAGGGCGCGUCCUAGGUGGCCGUGACCUACAAGGUAAUGCACUGUUUAUAGGCAGAGGGUAUCGUUUAACAUCAGGUGGGUCGUCUGCUUGAUCCGUCAAUACAAGUUGUAUUAAAAAAACGUACUUAUGCUAAGCAUUAUCCUUGUCACUUUCACACACAUAUCAAAUCACACGUGCUAGAGAAGGACAAACAAUGCUAAGCAUUAGGACGUGCUGAGUAAAGUCAGCCUCAGGCCUGAUGAAUAUUUGCGAUUAUAUUCAUACAAACAUACAUAGAUACACGCCUUNGCGAUGUUUUUAUUAAUAUCAUUAAGCCGUAACGAGUAGGACGAGCGCGGCGGUGAGCGCAGAAGGGUCUGGGCGUGAGCCCGCCUGGAGCCGCCGUCGGUGCAGAUCUUGGUGGUAGUAGCAAAUACUCCAGCGAGGCCCUGGAGGACUGACGUGGAGAAGGGUUUCGCGUGAACAGUAGUUGCUCGCGAGUCAGUCGAUCCUAAGCUCAAGGAGAAAUCUUAUGUCGAUGCGGCGUGUUUAUCUGAUAAAUAACGCCCUUUGAGCGAAAGGGAAUCCGGUUCCUAUUCCGGAACCCGGCAGCGGAACCGUUUCAAUAAUCGUUCACUCGUUUUAACGCGAGAGUUCGACGGGGUAACCCAAAGUGGCCUGAAGACGCCGCCGAGAGGUUCGGGAAGAGUUUUCUUUUCUGCCUGAGCGUUCGAGUUCCAUGGAAUCCUAUAGAAGGGAGAUAUGGUUCGGAACGCGAAGAGCACCGCAUUUGCGGCGGUGUCCGGAUACUCUCUGCGGACCUUGAAAAUUCAGGUGAGGGAUGUACGUGGAGAUGUCGCGCCGGUUCGUACCCAUAUCCGCAGCAGGUCUCCAAGGUGAAGAGCCUCUAGUC